UAGCCUUGACAUUGAUUGAAUUCAGUAGAGAUACAGAAGUGCCCUUCGGGGAACAUGAAAACAGGUGCUGCACGGCUGUCGUCAGCUCGUGUCGUGAGAUGUUGGGUUAAGUCCCGCAACGAGCGCAACCCUCGUCAAUAGUUGCCAGCAGGUUAAGCUGGGCACUCUAUUGAGACUGCCUUCGCAAGGAGGAGGAAGGUGAGGACGACGUCAAGUCAUCAUGGCCCUUACGGCUAGGGCUACACACGUGCUACAAUGGGGCGUACAGAGUGUUGCGAUACCGCGAGGUGGAGCUAAUCACUUAAAGCGUCUCUCAGUUCGGAUUGGAGUCUGCAACUCGACUCCAUGAAGCUGGAAUCACUAGUAAUCGUAGAUCAGCAAUGCUACGGUGAAUACGUUCCCGGGUCU
rnacentral:rRNA from 1 species